UCGUUGCCAUGGAUACAGCUUCCCUGCAGCAGCGAUGGAGAGCCGUGAAAUCACCGUGUCUUUUUAAAUACAAACCCUAACAUUUUAUUCAGGGUGCGCACGCCAAACCGGAAACAGAAAGAAAAGGUGUAUAUAUGUUGCUAGGAUACAGCGAGGUAGCCAAACAGGAAAUGAUCCAGCUUCAUUCAAGCGUGCUUUGGUCAAGUUUGAUACAUUAAAGUAUCGGCUAAAGAAAUAAAACAUGGACACUAAAAUAACGCUACCACAGGCCCUGAAAGCUAAAGUGAUGCUAUGGACAGAUGUGAGCUACCAUGACAUGGAGGAAAUCGACAAAAUGCAGUCCAUUCCAGAUCUAGAGAGUGUCAUCUGCAGUGUGUUUGGAGUUGAUCUCCCUGAACCAAAAAGAGGAGUCCUGCUGGAGCUGUAUGUACAGGCUGUGCUUUUCUGCAGAGAGCGCAGCUUCAAGAAGGAACAAACUUCUGCCCUCUUGUCCAUCAUCAAAUCCAUCCAUGAGGCUAAUAUAGAAACUCCACUCAACAAUAUAGACCAGUGUUUCAAAUACUGCAAGGAGCUACUUCUCUGUCACUCAGUCAGGCGGCCUCCCUUUAGUAUCAACCUCUUCAGCUCUGAGGAGGUGAACUGUAUCUUAAAUUACAUCCAUAACAGCUAUGUGAGACACUACAAACUCUACAAAUAUAUUUUCACCCCACAGGUCAGACUUGAUUUGUCAUUGACUUACUCUGGGAUUCCAGACCAGGAUGAAUCUACUACAAAGGAUUCUUCUGCUCCAGAGGACCUUGGACCAGGUUUAUUAAUACUUUUAUGUAUUCUUGCUGAACCUGAUGCUAAAAAAUGGGAUGGAAAAAGAAACAGUACCAGGAAAGACUGACAGCUCUCCUCAAACACAGGAAGCAUCCAUUGCCGAGCCAGAGGGAGACACGCUCGGUUCAAAAUCAGAGCUGAAGUCACUCAUCGAGAAAGAGGUCAGAGAGCAGAUGUUGCUUGUGUCUGGACAACUAGAUCAGCAAAUGAAAGAAAUUGUAGAUCAGCACAGCAGAGUGC